ACUUAAAUUGAAGAGUUUGAUCAUGGCUCAGAUUGAACGCUGGCGGCAGGCCUAACACAUGCAAGUCGGACGGUAGCACAGAGAGCUUGCUCUCGGGUGACGAGUGGCGGACGGGUGAGUAAUGUCUGGGGAUCUGCCCGAUAGAGGGGGAUAACCACUGGAAACGGUGGCUAAUACCGCAUAACGUCGCAAGACCAAAGAGGGGGACCUUCGGGCCUCUCACUAUCGGAUGAACCCAGAUGGGAUUAGCUAGUAGGCGGGGUAAUGGCCCACCUAGGCGACGAUCCCUAGCUGGUCUGAGAGGAUGACCAGCCACACUGGAACUGAGACACGGUCCAGACUCCUACGGGAGGCAGCAGUGGGGAAUAUUGCACAAUGGGCGCAAGCCU
rnacentral:rRNA from 1 species